GCCCGGCUGGCUCAGUCGGUAGAGCGUGAGACUCUUGAUCUUGGGGUCAUGAGUUCAAGCCCCAUGUUGGGUA